rnacentral:lncRNA from 1 species
CUUUAAAUCACAUCUAUAAUAUGGUCAGAUAAAUAAUUAAUGGAUACAUUAAAUUAACAAAAUCAUUAUUUUCUCUUUGUAUGCAGAGUUAUGAGCAUCUACUGCCCUACAAUUCUUACAAUGGAUGCUUGGAAAUGAAAAGAAUUGUGGUCUUUACCUUUUAGAAUGUCACUUUGGUUGGAAUGCAGUGGCGCAAUCUUCAGGUUGGAAUGCAGUGGCGCAAUCUUCAUUUACUACAGCUUUGACCUCCUGGGCUCACACAAUCCUCCUGUCUCAGCCUCCUGAGUAGCUUGGACCAUGGGCACGUGCCACAAUGCCCACCUAAAUUUUUUUUGUUUUUAAGAGAAAGGGGCUCAUUAUACUGCCCAGACUGGUUUCAAACUUCUGGGUUCAAGUAAUCUUCCUACCUUGGCCACCCAAAGUGCUGGGAUUACAUGUGUGAGCCACUUCACAUGGCCAUAAAUAUUUCUUAAACAGUCAUACCUUGUUAUCUAUGGGAGGUUGGUUCCAAGACCCCCCAUGGAUAUCAAAAUCCAUGGACACUCAAGACCCUUAUAUAAACUGGAGUAGUAUUUGCAUAUUAACUUAAACACAUAAUCCCAAUAUAUUUUUAAUCAGUUCUCGAUUACUUAUAAAUUAUUGUUUGAAUAAUAAUGAUAAGAAAUAAACAUGUACAUAUUCAGUAUGAUGAAAUUUUUUAAAUACUUUUUCUCUGUAGUUGGUUGAAUCCAUGGAUGUGGAACCCACAGAGGUCCAACUAUACAAUUUAUUUUUAUACAUUUUAGACCUUGGUUGCUAUAGUGACUGGCAUCUUAUACAUCAUUAGGUAUCCAGGAAAGCUUUUGAUUUCCUCAUAUUUGUAUUUUACAGCCUUCAUACAAAAUGUUCUUUUUAAAGUAAUUUUAAGUUGCAUCAUUUUUGCAUUUUUAAGGUAGAUAAUAGCAUGCUCUGGAAUUCUUUUUUUUUUUUUUACAAAUUAUUUCUACUGUUAUGCAUAGAACUGACAAG